UUAAGUUCAGCGGGUAUCCCUACCUGAUCCGAGGUCAACCUAAGAAGUUGGGGGUUGCUGGCAAGAUACCCUAAGGGUUCUAUCGCGGGGUGUAUUACUACGCGUAGAGCCUCAAGGCACCGCCACUGAUUUUGAGACCCGCCCAGAGGCGAAGUCCAAGACCCUCUUUGCAGAGGAGUUGGUAUAAAUGACGCUCGAAC
rnacentral:misc_RNA from 1 species